rnacentral:rRNA from 1 species
UAAGGGAUAUUGGUCAAUGGGCGCAAGCCUGAACCAGCAACGCCGCGUGCAGGAUGACGGCCUUCGGGUUGUAAACUGCUUUUGUCGGGGACGAGAGAGGACGGUACCCGGCGAAUAAGUCACGGCUAACUACGUGCCAGCAGCCGCGGUAACACGUAGGUGGCGAGCGUUAUCCGGAUUUACUGGGCGUAAAGCGUGUGCAGACGGACUAGCAAGUGGUGUAUGAAAUCGCGGUGCUUAACACAGCGAGGUUAUGCCAGACUGCUGGACUAGAGUGCGAGAGAGGGAUGCGGAAUUCCAGGUGUAGCGGUGAAAUGCGUAGAUAUCUGGAGGAACACCGGUGGCGAAGGCGACAUCCUGGACCAAUUCUGACGCUGAGGAGCGAAAGCCAGGGGAGCAAACGGGAUUAGAUACCCAAGUAGUCCCUGAGCGGGCUGGCAAGGCGCAU